UAAUCUAUUUUGAAAAAAAUCCUUAUUUAGCUAAGAUAAACUCAUAUCUGACUGUUUAAAAUUACUAACUACCAUGUGAAGAAUAACUUUUUGAAA
rfam:Populus trichocarpa isolate Nisqually-1 chromosome 15, whole genome shotgun sequence.